rnacentral:rRNA from 1 species
UGGGGAAUAUUGCACAAUGGGGGAAACCCUGAUGCAGCAACGCCGCGUGAGUGAUGACGGCCUUCGGGUUGUAAAGCUCUGUCUUCAGGGACGAUAAUGACGGUACCUGAGGAGGAAGCCACGGCUAACUACGUGCCAGCAGCCGCGGUAAUACGUAGGUGGCAAGCGUUGUCCGGAUUUACUGGGCGUAAAGGGAGCGUAGGCGGACUUUUAAGUGAGAUGUGAAAUACCCGGGCUCAACCUGGGUGCUGCAUUUCAAACUGGAAGUCUAGAGUGCAGGAGAGGAGAGUGGAAUUCCUAGUGUAGCGGUGAAAUGCGUAGAGAUUAGGAAGAACACCAGUGGCGAAGGCGACUCUCUGGACUGUAACUGACGAUGAGGCUCGAAAGCGUGGGGAGCAAACA